GCUGAAUCCAAGGAAAUGUUUAACUCUGUGAGCUGAAUGCACAUAUCUCAAAGCAGUUUCUCAGAAAGCUUCUUUCUAAUUUUUAUAUGAAUAUAUUUCCUUUU